rnacentral:tRNA from 1 species
UCCCCUAUAGCAGACAGGUGUGGGCACCAAUCUUUUAAAUUGGGAGGUCUGGUUCAAUUCCAGAUGGGGGAA